ensembl:miRNA
CGGUGGGCUGGAUGGGCAGGUAGGGGGCGGGCUCCGGCGCUGGGACCCCGCUCGGGUGGCGCCUUGGCCCCGCCCCGCCCCGCCCUCCCUCCGCCUCAUUGGCAGCCGC